GAUGAACGCUGGCUACAGGCUUAACACAUGCAAGUCGAGGGGAAACGACGGGGAAGCUUGCUUCCCCGGGCGUCGACCGGCGCACGGGUGAGUAACGCGUAUCCAACCUGCCUCUGACUGAGGGAUAACCCGUCGAAAGUCGGCCUAAUACCUCAUGGCAUCGUCUGCGGGCAUCCAACGACGAUUAAAGAUUUCAUCGGUCAGAGAUGGGGAUGCGUCUGAUUAGCUUAUUGGCGGGGUAACGGCCCACCAAGGCGACGAUCAGUAGGGGUUCUGAGAGGAAGGUCCCCCACAUUGGAACUGAGACACGGUCCAAACUCCUACGGGAGGCAGCAGUGAGGAAUAUUGGUCAAUGGGCGAGAGCCUGAACCAGCCAAGUAGCGUGCAGGAUGACGGCCCUAUGGGUUGUAAACUGCUUUUAUGCGGGGAUAAAGUGAGGGACGUGUCCUUCAUUGCAGGUACCGCAUGAAUAAGGACCGGCUAAUUCCGUG
rnacentral:rRNA from 1 species